rnacentral:lncRNA from 1 species
UACAACCUCCCCAGCAUGUUGCUUUACCAAAUCCUGCAGUUGACAGUGCAUUAGGUUUAUUAUACCAGCACCACUGCUCACACACAAGUAAUCUCAUAAAAUAGGCACCCAUAUGUGUGUCACCUAUGUGACCAAAUGUCCUUGAAGAAAGCAUUGUUGUGUGGCUUCUGAAUGUAUAUUAGAAAAGCUGGCAGUCUGUGGUUCAGACAAUGUUGACAAUUAUUACACAGUUCUUAUGCAUAUUAGGCUUGCCAAAUUACUUUCUUAGCCUCUAAAAUGUCCAUUUUGGAAAUUUAUAAAAUUCUGCAAGGCUAGCAUGUGGAAGAGAUGAACUUUGGUGACAUUGAUUUAUUCCUAAGACACAAGCCUCUUUUCACUUAUCCCAUUCUUCUUUCACAUUAUCAGAAGUAUUAGCAAUUUCUUGUUUAUCAAUCAUUGUUCUUGUUUGCUGGUUGGUUAGGUUUGGUCUGGAGCAAACAGAUGCAGCCUUCUAAUUUUUCUCAUCCCUAGUGAACACAUUGUGACCACCUGUAUGAAAUGUUUUCUACCACACAGCUUCCAGUCUCCUUGAGUGCAGAGUUAUUGUUUUUUGUUUGCUUGUAUGUUUUCAGAUGGGUGAUAUUUUAGGUUCUCAGAUAAGAGUGGAACAAAAUAAUUAUAUUUCUGAAGGAAGGCAGACAUUCAAUAAAGGUCCUGUUGUUUAUGCAUACUCCCAGCACAAUGACUCGGUGUUACUGCUUUGUUUGGUGGAAUUCUUUCCAAAUUGUUAACUCCCCCUCAGCAAAAUUCCAACUUUGUCAGCAGGCAUUUCUAAGGGCAGGUGCUGUCGGGAGGAUUAAUAUUAACUGUUUCCUGCACAGGAGGUAGUAGGGCUUCAUUAAUCCAUGUAGUAGACAUCACCUACAAAAACAUUAGGGGUGACCCAGGAACAUACCUGACUUCCUGGACUCCACAAGAAGAAGGUGUUUUUGCUCUGCUGGUGCUUUUUUGGAUAGUUCAGGUCUUAUAUUGGAGUGCUUCCAUUUGGGGAAGUGAGUGCACACCAAGAGUACAAGUUUUUUUUGUUUGUUUGUUUGU